AUGACAAGGAGCACUUCUUUGCCGUGGCUUCGGGUGAUUUCACCCACCCGCAGUAUGUGCAUACCGUGGGAGGUUGGAGACCAUUUGGGGAGCAUGAUCUCUGAGACCAUCACACUAGAAGCUCCUAAUGGCAUAUUCUGUAUUGGGGUGUGUAGAAAGGCGGGUGAGCUAGUUCUUCAGUCUGCCUGGGAUAAGUUUGUCGCAAUGCAUCACAUAGAAGAAAAUUAUUCUUUUUGGUUCGUGUGCCCUGGGAACUCUACCUUUAAGGUUCAUAUAUUCAAUCCCAACGGUCAUGAGAAGGCCAGUUCCUGUUCUCAACCACCUUCUCAGAGCUUUGGAGGUGUUCCACCUGGCGCUAUUUGCGAUCAUCAUGCGCCGAAUGAACAACUACUGUCUGAUCCUGGACAUGUUCGGACCUCCACUGACUAUGGCUAUAGCACAUUACCUGGCUGCCAUCUAACCAAAGCACAAGAUGAGAAAGUACGUGAAAUAGCUUGUACCAUGAGAUCUCAAGUUCCCCUUUAUGUGGCAGUCAUGAACAAAAGCAAUGUCAACUUGAAGGAUUGCUCUGUUAACUUACCGUUAAAGCUUGUGGAACAUUUCAAAGAGGACACAUCUAAAGCUACUAUUCAACUAGAAGCCCCUAAUGACAAUAUAUACGGUGUUGAAGCUUGCAAGCACGGUGAUGACCAAAUAGUCCUCCAAUAUGGGUGGAAAAAUCUUGUAGAUGCUAAUCGCAUACAAGAGAAUGACCUCCUUAUUUUUAUAACCAAGGGUAAAAAACGCCUUGAAGUUCGUAUUCUUGGCACAAGUGUUCAUCAGAGAACCUCUUCAUGCUUUGAUUUGGGAAAUAUUUCUAGCACUCAAGAAAUUUGUGAAGAUUCACUUGAAAUAACCGAUCCACCCCCUCAUACAGACUACUAUGUGAGUAGUUCUGAUGAUGAUCACAUUGUGGAAGAAGGCACUAGAAAAUCAUGCUACUAUGUGAGUAGUUCUGAUGAUGAUCACAUUGUGGAAGAAGGCUACUAUGUGAGUAGUUCUGAUGAUGAUCACAUUGUGGAACAAGGCACUAGAAAAUCAUUCUACUAUGUGAGUUGUUCUGAUGCUCAUGAUAUUGUGGAAGAAGGCACUAGAAAAUCAUGUAGGCGGCAGAAGCAGGCACCUAGUCACUGUGCAAAAGCUCAAAAGGUGGCUUCAACAUCCUCCCCAUCUGCUGCUAAAUCAGGAUACGAAGCUCACACGCUGAAUGAGUGA
rnacentral:rRNA from 1 species